rnacentral:rRNA from 1 species
UGGGGAAUAUUAGGCAAUGGGGGAAACCCUGACCUAGCAACGCCGCGUGAAGGAUGAAGGCUUUCGGGUUGUAAACUUCUUUUACCCGGGAAGAACAAGGUGACGGUACCGGGAGAAUAAGCCACGGCUAACUACGUGCCAGCAGCCGCGGUAAUACGUAGGUGGCAAGCGUUAUCCGGAAUUACUGGGUGUAAAGGGCGCGUAGGCGGGACUGUAAGUUGGGUGUGAAAUAUCCGGGCUCAACCCGGGGGCUGCACCCAAAACUAUAGUUCUUGAGUGAUGGAGAGGCAGGCGGAAUUCCCGGUGUAGCGGUGGAAUGCGUAGAUAUCGGGAGGAACACCAGUGGCGAAGGCGGCCUGCUGGACAUUAACUGACGCUGAGGCGCGAAAGCGUGGGGAGCAAACA